rnacentral:rRNA from 1 species
GAUGAACGCUGGCGGCGUGCCUAAUACAUGCAAGUCGAGCGAACAGACGAGGAGCUUGCUCCUCUGACGUUAGCGGCGGACGGGUGAGUAACACGUGGAUAACCUACCUAUAAGACUGGGAUAACUUCGGGAAACCGGAGCUAAUACCGGAUAAUAUAUUGAACCGCAUGGUUCAAUAGUGAAAGACGGUUUUGCUGUCACUUAUAGAUGGAUCCGCGCCGCAUUAGCUAGUUGGUAAGGUAACGGCUUACCAAGGCAAUGAUGCGUAGCCGACCUGAGAGGGUGAUCGGCCACACUGGAACUGAGACACGGUCCAGACUCCUACGGGAGGCAGCAGUAGGGAAUCUUCCGCAAUGGGCGAAAGCCUGACGGAGCAACGCCGCGUGAGUGAUGAAGGUCUUCGGAUCGUAAAACUCUGUUAUUAGGGAAGAACAAAUGUGUAGGUAACUAUGCACGUCUUGACGGUACCUAAUCAGAAAGCCACGGCUAACUACGUG